CCUACGGGUGGCUGCAGUGGGGAAUAUUGGACAAUGGGCGAAAGCCUGAUCCAGCCAUGCCGCGUGUGUGAAGAAGGCCUUCGGGUUGUAAAGCACUUUCAGUGGGGAAGAAAGCCUUGGGGCUAAUACCCUCGAGGAAGGACAUCACCCACAGAAGAAGCACCGGCUAACUCCGUGCCAGCAGCCGCGGUAAUACGGAGGGUGCGAGCGUUAAUCGGAAUUACUGGGCGUAAAGCGCGCGUAGGCGGUCUGAUAAGCCGGUUGUGAAAGCCCCGGGCUCAACCUGGGAACGGCAUCCGGAACUGUCAGGCUAGAGUGCAGGAGAGGAAGGUAGAAUUCCCGGUGUAGCAGUGAAAUGCGUAGAGAUCGGGAGGAAUACCAGUGGCGAAGGCGGCCUUCUGGACUGACACUGACGCUGAGGUGCGAAAGCGUGGGUAGCAAACAGGAUUAGAUACCCUGAUAGUC
rnacentral:rRNA from 1 species